rnacentral:rRNA from 1 species
ACUCAAAUGAAUUGACGGGGGCCCGCACAAGCGGUGGAGCAUGUGGUUUAAUUCGACGCAACGCGAAGAACCUUACCUACUCUUGACAUCCUCGGAAGCUAGCAGAGAUGCUGGUGUGCCUUCGGGAACCGAGAGACAGGUGCUGCAUGGCUGUCGUCAGCUCGUGUCGUGAGAUGUUGGGUUAAGUCCCGUAACGAGCGCAACCCUUGUCCUUAGUUGCUAACAGGUUAUGCUGAGAACUCUAGGGAGACUGCCGGUGACAAGCCGGAGGAAGGCGGGGACGACGUCAAGUCAUCAUGGCCCUUACGAGUAGGGCUACACACGUGCUACAAUGGGCGGUACAGAGGGAAGCGAAGUCGUGAGGCGGAGCGAAUCUCAGAAAGCCGCUCGUAGUCCGGAUUGGAGUCUGCAACUCGACUCCAUGAAGUUGGAAUCGCUAGUAAUCGCGGAUCAGAACGCCGCGGUGAAUACGUUCCCGGGCCUUGCACACACCGCCCGU